rnacentral:rRNA from 1 species
UACGAAGGGGGCUAGCGUUGUUCGGAAUUACUGGGCGUAAAGCGCACGUAGGCGGACUAUUAAGUCAGGGGUGAAAUCCCGGGGCUCAACCCCGGAACUGCCUUUGAUACUGUCGAUCUGGAGUAUGGAAGAGGUGAGUGGAAUUCCGAGUGUAGAGGUGAAAUUCGUAGAUAUUCGGAGGAACACCAGUGGCGAAGGCGGCUCACUGGCCCAAUACUGACACUCAGGUGCGACAGCGUGGGGAGCAAACAGG